CGGGGACACAUUCUCUCUCAUAUUUAGCUUAACCUAAGCAGUUAGUUAAACUGAAACACACUGUUUUAUUUUUAAUAAAAAAACAAAUCUUCAAAUCAUACACCAUUGUCGUCUUCGUUUGCCUCUCUCUGUCUCUCUCUCUCUCUCUCUCUACUCUAUCUUCCUCUCUUUCUGUGUCUAUCUCGUGUUGUUGAGCCAAAGGUCAAAUCUCCUUCUUUCCAUCUCAACACUUCUUUCUCAUUUUGAUUUAUAUAAUAUUGCUUUCCCUUUAUCAAAAUUUGGAAAAGGAUUUUCUUUGAAUUUCGCUGAUGCAAUUGGCCAAGCCAAAUACAUGAAUAUUCUGUGAAGUUUAUAUCACAACACCUUCAAAGGGACGACCAUUUACUAUUAGAGAGGUUAAAACUUCAGAAACUACUUAGUUACUUGCUUGAUUUGUUGAGGGCUGAGGAUGCAGAAAUUGGAGUUGCAAAUGGAAAUAAAAGAAAUUUGUUAUCUACACAUGUUUAGUGAUGCUUAUACUAAUAUAGAUGUAUAAUUUGAGUUCUAGGAUUGUGAAACCUAUUUAUUUGCCUUUAAUUUAGUUCAAUAGCACUAGUUUAAGUUAGACCUAUCAUCCUAGUUAUAAUGGAACUCAUUUUCAAUUGAUGAAUUAGUCUUUUUAUGUUAAUGAUAAACCUGGUUCAAUUGAUGAUGAGCUUGUAUUUUUCUAGUUUGUGAUAAUCAAUUAAGAUAUGACAUUUAUUGUUGCA